rnacentral:rRNA from 1 species
CCUACGGGUGGCAGCAGUGAGGAAUAUUGGUCAAUGGGCGCGAGCCUGAACCAGCCAAGUCGCGUGAGGGAUGAAGGUUCUAUGGAUCGUAAACCUCUUUUAUAAGGGAAUAAAGUGUGGGACGUGUCCGAUUUUGUAUGUACCUUAUGAAUAAGGAUCGGCUAACUCCGUGCCAGCAGCCGCGGUAAUACGGAGGAUACGAGCGUUAUCCGGAUUUAUUGGGUUUAAAGGGUGCGUAGGCGGGCUUUUAAGUCAGCGGUGAAAGUCUGUGGCUCAACCAGAGAGUGGCCGUUGAAACUGGGGGGCUUGAGUAUGUUUGAGGCAGGUGGAAUGCGUGGUGUAGCGGUGAAAUGCUUAGAUAUCACGAAGAACCCCGAUUGCGAAGGCAGCUUGCCAGGCCAUGACUGACGCUGAUGCUCGAAAGCGUGGGGAUCAAACAGGAUUAGAUACCCGGGUAGUC